AUUGAACGCUGGCGGCAGGCCUAACACAUGCAAGUCGAACGAGUGGCGGACGGGUGAGUAAUGUCUGGGAAACUGCCUGAUGGAGGGGGAUAACGACUGGAAACGGUAGCUAAUACCGCAUACCAUCGGAGGUGCCCAGAUGGGAUUAGCUCGUAGGUGGGGUAAAGGCUCACCUAGGCGACGAUCCCUAGCUGGUCUGAGAGGAUACCCAGCCACACUGUAACUGGGACACGGUCCAGACUCCGACGGAAGGCAGCAGUGGGGAAUAUUGGACAUGGAGCGCAAGCCUGAUGCAGCCAUGCCGCGUGUAGGAAGAAGGCCUUCGGGUUUUAAAGUACUUUCAGCGGGGAGGCGUUACCCGCAGAGGAAGCACCGGCUAACUCCGUGCCAGCAGCCGCGGUAAUAC
rnacentral:rRNA from 1 species